UGUAUUUAUUAGAUUAAAAACCAAUGCCCUUCGGGGCUCCUUGGUGAUUCAUAAUAACUUAACGAAUCGCAUGGCCUUGUGCCGGCGAUGGUUCAUUCAAAUUUCUGCCCUAUCAACUUUCGAUGGUAGUAUAUGGGACUACCAUGGUUUCAACGGGUAACGGGGAAUUAGGGUUCUAUCCCGGAGAGGGAGCCUGAGAAACGGCUACCACAUCCAAGGAAGGCAGCAGGCGCGCAAAUUACCCAAUCCCGACACGGGGAGGUAGUGACAAUAAAUACUGAUACAGGGCUCUUUUGGGUCUUGUAAUUGGAAUGAGUACAAUUUAAAUCCCUUAACGAGGAACAAUUGGAGGGCAAGUCUGGUGCCAGCAGCCGCGGUAAUACCAGCUCCAAUAGCGUAUAUUAAAGUUGUUGCAGUUAAAAAGCUCGUAGUUGAACCUUGGGCCUGGCUGGCCGGUCCGCCUCACCGCGUGCACUGGUCCGGCCGGGUCUUUCCUCCUGGGGAGCCGCAUGCCCUUCACUGGGUGUGUCGGGGAACCAGG
rnacentral:rRNA from 1 species